rnacentral:rRNA from 1 species
GACAGAGGGGGCAAGCGUUGCUCGGAAUCACUGGGCGUAAAGGGCGCGUAGGCGGGAAGCCAAGUCGGUCGUGAAAUCUCCGGGCUCAACCCGGAGGAGUCGGCCGAAACUGGUUUUCUUGAGGGAGGCAGAGGAGUCUGGAAUUCCCGGUGUAGCGGUGAAAUGUGUAGAGAUCGGGAGGAACACCGGUGGCGAAGGCGGGACUCUGGGCCUACCCUGACGCUGAGGCGCGAAGGCGUGGGGAGCAAACGGGAUUAGAUACCCCGGUAGUCCACGCGGUAAACGAUGACGACUAGGUGUGGGGGGGUUCAGUCCCUUCCGUGCCGCAGCUAACGCAUUAAGUCGUCCGCCUGGGGAGUACGGCCGCAAGGUUGAAACUUAAAUGAAUUGACGG